rnacentral:rRNA from 1 species
UACAGAGGGGGCAAGCGUUAUUCGGAAUUAUUGGGCGUAAAGCGCGCGCAGGCGGUUCCUUAAGUCUGAUGUGAAAGCCCCCGGCUCAACCGGGGAGGGUCAUUGGAAACUGGGGAACUUGAGUGCAGAAGAGAAGAGCGGAAUUCCACGUGUAGCGGUGAAAUGCGUAGAGAUGUGGAGGAACACCAGUGGCGAAGGCGGCUCUUUGGUCUGUAACUGACGCUGAGGCGCGAAAGCGUGGGGAGCAAACAGG